rnacentral:rRNA from 1 species
GUAGGGGGCAAGCGUUGUCCGGAUUUAUUGGGCGUAAAGAGCGUGUAGGCGGCCAGGUAGGUCUGCUGUGAAAACUCGAGGCUCAACCUCGAGAUGUCGGCGGAAACCAUCUGGCUAGAGUCCGGAAGAGGAAAGUGGAAUUCCCGGUGUAGCGGUGAAAUGCGCAGAUAUCGGGAAGAACACCCGUGGCGAAGGCGGCUUUCUGGGACGGUACUGACGCUGAGACGCGAAAGCGUGGGGAGCGAACAGGAUUAGAUACCCUGGUAGUCCACGCCGUAAACGAUGGGUGCUAGGUGUGGGCGGUGUCGACUCCGUCCGUGCCGAAGCUAACGCAUUAAGCACCCCGCCUGGGGAGUACGGCCGCAAGGCUAAA